rnacentral:rRNA from 1 species
GUGGGGAAUAUUGGACAAUGGGCGAAAGCCUGAUCCAGCCAUGCCGCGUGUGUGAAGAAGGUCUUCGGAUUGUAAAGCACUUUAAGUUGGGAGGAAGGGCAGUAAGUUAAUACCUUGCUGUUUUGACGUUACCGACAGAAUAAGCACCGGCUAACUUCGUGCCAGCAGCCGCGGUAAUACGAAGGGUGCAAGCGUUAAUCGGAAUUACUGGGCGUAAAGCGCGCGUAGGUGGUUUUGUAAGUUGGAGGUGAAAUCCCCGGGAUCAACCUGGGAACUGCCUCCAAAACUGCAUGACUAGAGUACGGUAGAGGGUAGUGGAAUUUCCUGUGUAGCGGUGAAAUGCGUAGAUAUAGGAAGGAACACCAGUGGCGAAGGCGACUACCUGGACUGAUACUGACACUGAGGUGCGAAAGCGUGGGGAGCAAACAGGAUUAGAAACCCUUGUAGUCC